rnacentral:rRNA from 1 species
GAUGAACGCUAGCGGCAGGCCUAACACAUGCAAGUCGAACGGUGUCUUCGGACAUAGUGGCGCACGGGUGCGUAACACGUAUGCAACCUACCUUACAUUGGGGGAUAGCCUUUCGAAAGGGAGAUUAAUACCGCCUAAGACAGUAGCUGGGCAUCCAGCAGCUGUUAAAGAUUUAUCGAUGUAAGCUGGGCAUGCGUCCAAUUAGCUAGUUGGUGAGGUACCGGCUCACCAAGGCAAUGAUUGGUAGGGGAACUGAGAGGUCAAUCCCCCACACUGGCACUGAGAUACGGGCCAGACUCCUACGGGAGGCAGCAGUAGGGAAUAUUGGGCAAUGGACGCAAGUCUGACCCAGCCAUGCCGCGUGCAGGAUGAAGGCGUUAUGCGUUGUAAACUGCUUUUAUACAGGAAGAAACGACUCUUGCGAGAGGCAUUGACGGUACUGUAUGAAUAAGCACCGGCUAACUCCGUGCCAGCCGCCGCCGUAAAAC